GCCAGGCAAGGUGGUGCCCACCUGUAAUCCCAGUGACUAAGGAGGCUGAGACAGGAGGAUCAUGAGUUCAAAGCCAGCUUCAGCAAUGGCAAGGCACUAAGAACUCAGUGAGACCCUGUCUCUA
rnacentral:sRNA from 1 species